rnacentral:lncRNA from 1 species
GCUAGCAAGAAGUAUUACUUCAGCAUGACUUUUUUGUCAUACUACUUCUGGUCUCUCUGUCUCCUUUAUGAGUUGCUUCUACCUUGGCUUUUUCCACAACUCUUAAGAAAUUCUUCACACCAAGAUUGAACAAUCAAUGUUCCAGAAGUCCUAUUAUGCCUUGCCGCUCGGUUCUUCUCUGUUUGGUCAAUCUACCUGUGUCAUGCUGGCAUAGAAAGCUUAUCCUCUAUUGGUUGACAUCUCACACAUCUCUGCUACCAUUCUUUUUUUUUAAUAAUAAACUGCAAAUCUUGACUCAUUAAAUGUUUUUUAUAUAUUCUCCUCCUAAUUUUCGUAUCUAAUUCCUGAGUAAAUUUUCUUACAACGGUGAUACCACAUCAAACUUGUAACAAGCCAAUCAAAAAUUGAAAAUCGACGGGAC